UACGUAGGGUGCGAGCGUUGCCCGGAUUUAUUGGGCGUAAAGCGCGCGUAGGUGGUUCCGUGUGCUCCGCGUGAAAUCUCCCGGCUCAACCGGGAGAGGUCGCGGAUGACUACGGGACUGGAGCCUGGGAGGGGAAAGUGGAAUUCCCGGUGUAGUGGUGGAAUGCGUAGAGAUCGGGAGGAACACCAGUGGCGAAGGCGACUUUCUGGACCAGAGCUGACACUGAGGCGCGAAAGCGUGGGGAGCGAUCCGG
rnacentral:rRNA from 1 species